UCUCCGUUGGUGAACCAGCGGAGGGAUCAUUACCGAGUUUACAACUCCCAAACCCAAUGUGAACGUUACCAAACUGUUGACUCAGCGGGGUCACGCCCCGGGUGCGUCGCAACCCCGGAACCAGGCGGCCGCCGGAGGAACCAACCAAACUCUUUCUGUAGUCCCCUCACGGACGUUAUUUCUUACAGCUCUGAGCAAAAAUUCAAAAAGAAUCAAAACUUUCAACAACGGAUCUCUUGGUUCUG
rnacentral:misc_RNA from 1 species